AACGAACGCUGGCGGCAUGCCUAACACAUGCAAGUCGAACGAUACCUGCGGGUCUUGUUGCGCACGGUUACUUACCGCGUGGGAAGUUGCGCUUAGGUUCCCUAUAACUUCCCGGAAGGGGUGCUAAUACCACAUAAUGUCUUCCGACCAAAGAUUUAUCGCCUUUGGAUGGGCCCGCGUUGGAUUAGCUAGUUGGACUGGUAAAAGGCUACCAAGGCUAUGAUCCAGUGCUGGUCUGAGCGGAUGACCAGCCAGACUGGGACUGGGACACGUCCCAGACUCCUACGGAAGGCAGCAGUUGUGACUAUUGGACACUGGGCGAAAGCAUGAUCCAGCAGUGUCGCGUGAGUGAUGAAGGCGUGAGGAUCGUAAAGCACUGUUAACAGGGAUGAUAAUGACAGUACCGGGACAAUAAGCGCCGGCUAACUACGUG
rnacentral:rRNA from 1 species